CAGUGUAAAUCGUGCAUUUAAGGUGGCGCUCCUUGUUCAGUGGGAGGCUUGGAUGACAAGUGGGGAGAAAUCCUUCACUAAAACGGGCUGCAGGCGAAUAGCAUCUUAUGGUCAAGUCUGCCAGUGGGUCCUGACAGCGUGGAGCAUUGUCAAAAAAUCCACUAUCAUCAACGGGUUUCGAAAGGCUGGACUGCUGUGUGUUGAAGGGGGCAGCAUGAGCUCAGCGGGGAAUUUGCCUCCGGAUGAAAGUGACGAGAGCGACAAUGAAAACGAUCCAACAUCGGAUGAAGCAAUUCUGAGGCUAUUCAACUCCGACACCGAAGGAGAUGACUUCAGUGGUUUCAGUGCACAGGAGGAGAAAGAUAGUGACCAAUUACUUUCUUGACAGAAGAUGAAGUGGUGUGUUGUUCUGCUGGCCUUGCUGCAGUCUUUGUGCUGCUCAGGUAGUUAAUUUGGGAUAAAGGAGACAAACUGUCUGAAGAGCUCUGGAGAAGACUCACAGAGAUGUACUUUCAGAGUGGGACCUUUGUGGUGAGACCCGAUCCUCGAUUAUUGGCCAAAGAAAAGAUCUGAUUUGUCUGAAUUGGGCUACGUGUCAUCGCAGCCUAUGAACUCAGUACAAGAAAUAGAACCUGGCCUUAUCAAGCAUCUCAGAAUAAGAGUGAUGAUCGGUUUUCCCUUUCAGAUCGUAAUUAAUAAAAAUACACUAUGGACAGGGAGGCCCUGAUCCUAGAUCAGCACUCUACUCUCUAUACACUACUUUGAGACUGAAAUGUUCAUAAAUAAUUUCUCCCCAAUACGCAGCUGAUGAAGGAUUGGGACUGAUAAAUACAUGACCACAUCUCUUUAGCAAAAAAAAAAUCUUGACCCACAAAUCGAAUAUCUUUUCUCAAUCUUCGACCAGACAAACAGCUACAGCUGUAUUUUACAUCAAUAUGAGCAAAUUGUUUGGUCGUAGACUACUGUGGUAGUCCGAUAAAGGGUUUGUGAGGUUCAUCUAUAAACUGAUGGUUUUUAGGACAUUCUCAACUGUUGACAGACUCCACACACUGUUGAUUUUGGCAUGGGAUGCUGUGUUUGUGACAGACAGGGGAGAACAGAAUGUCACCAAAUUAGUUUCUCUGCCUUGAUCAUUCCAACAGGACUGGUGCCUGUUAUAAAAGCUAAAGAUAUAGAUUUUUAGAUAAAGAAGCCUUCAUUGUGUACUAGCAUAGUGAUCAAAGUGCUUUAUUGUAUGCCCAUUUACUUAACUACCACUAAUCCUCCCCUCCCUCCCACCUCCUGCACAACACGUGUGUGCAGAGCUCACUCAGGUUGUGUCCCUGAACUGUGGCCAGGACACCGCCGAGUCCAGUAGUGAAGAGGUGAGAGGGGGGGG